rnacentral:piRNA from 1 species
UGAUGGACUUGGUGUUGGAAGAGGAC